CCUACGGGAGGCAGCAGUGGGGAAUAUUGCUCAAUGGCGGAAACGCUGAUGCAGCGACGCCGCGUGAGCGAUGAAGUAUUUCUGUGUUUAAAGCCCUAUCAGUAGGGAAGAAAAUGACGGUACCUGACUAAGAAGCCCCGGCUAACUACGUUCCAGCAGCCGCGGUACUACGCAGGGGGCAAGCGUUAUCCGGAUUUACUGGGUGUAAAGGGAGCGUAGACGGCUGUGCAAGCCAGAUGUGAAAGCCUGGGGCUCAACCCCGGGACUGCGUCUGGAACUGGGUGGCUGGAGUGUCGGGGAGGCAGGCGGAAUUCGUAGUGUAGCGGUGAAAUGCGUAGAUAUUAGGAGGAACACCAGUGGCGAAGGCGGCCUGCUGGACGAUGACUGACGUUGAGGCUCGAAAGCGUGGGGAGCAAACAGGAUUAGAUACCCGAGUAGUC
rnacentral:rRNA from 1 species